GCGAUGAGUGGCUAGCAAGGGCGGUCGGCUAGUCUCCCCGAGGGGAGGUGAUGCCAUGGAGACCAAAGACGCGAUAACGCUGAUGAUUACGUUCGGCAUGUUUAUUCUCGCGCUGCUCUCUUAUCUCAAAAAAAAAUAGACCGCCCUCUCGCAAAGGUAUGCGGUCUACUAUAGUUCCCAUAUCUUCCUGAGCCUUCCGCCCUUAAAGCGGUGAGUCGCGCGAGGAGUCGGUUGCCGCCGGCUCCU
rnacentral:sRNA from 1 species